CAUGCAAGUCGAACGGAAAGGCUCCUUCGGGAGCACUCGAGUGGCGAACGGGUGAGUAACACGUGGGUGAUCUGCCCUGCACUUUGGGAUAAGCCUGGGAAACUGGGUCUAAUACCGGAUAGGACUCUUGGCUGCAUGGCUGGGAGUGGAAAGCUUUUGCGGUGUGGGAUGGGCCCGCGGCCUAUCAGCUUGUUGGUGGGGUGAUGGCCUACCAAGGCGACGACGGGUAGCCGGCCUGAGAGGGUGUCCGGCCACACUGGGACUGAGAUACGGCCCAGACUCCUACGGGAGGCAGCAGUGGGGAAUAUUGCACAAUGGGCGCAAGCCUGAUGCAGCGACGCCGCGUGGGGGAUGACGGCCUUCGGGUUGUAAACCUCUUUCAGCUCCGACGAAGCGCAAGUGACGGUAGGAGCAGAAGAAGCACCGGCCAACUACGUGCCAGCAGCCGCGGUAAUACGUAGGGUGCGAGCGUUGUCCGGAAUUACUGGGCGUAAAGAGCUCGUAGGUGGUUUGUCACGUUGUUCGUGAAAACUCACA
rnacentral:rRNA from 1 species